rnacentral:rRNA from 1 species
UACGUAGGGGGCAAGCGUUAUCCGGAUUUACUGGGUGUAAAGGGAGCGUAGACGGCAGUGCAAGUCUGGAGUGGAAGGCGGGGGCUCAACCCCCGGACUGCUCUGGAAACUGUACGGCUGGAGUGCAGGAGAGGUAAGUGGAAUUCCUAGUGUAGCGGUGAAAUGCGUAGAUAUUAGGAGGAACACCAGUGGCGAAGGCGGCUUACUGGACUGUAACUGACGUUGAGGCUCGAAAGCGUGGGGAGCAAACAGG